AAGAAGUUUGAUCCUGGCUCAGAACGAACGCUGGCGGCAGGCCUAACACAUGCAAGUCGAGCGCUCUCUUCGGAGGGAGCGGCGGACGGGUUAGUAACGCGUGGGGAUGUACCCUUCUCUAAGGAAUAGCCAUUGGAAACGAUGAGUAAUACCUUAUACGCCCUUCGGGGGAAAGAUUUAUCGGAGAGGGAUCAGCCCGCGUAAGAUUAGAUAGUUGGUGGGGUAAUGGCCUACCAAGUCUACGAUCUUUAGCUGGUUUUAGAGGAUGAUCAGCAACACUGGGACUGAGACACGGCCCAGACUCCUACGGGAGGCAGCAGUGGGGAAUCUUGGACAAUGGGCGCAAGCCUGAUCCAGCCAUGCCGCGUGUGUGAUGAAGGCCUUAGGGUCGUAAAGCACUUUCGCUAGAGAUGAUAAUGACAGUAUCUAGUAAAGAAGUCCCGGCUAACUCCGUGCCAGCAGCCGCGGUAAUACGGAGGGGACUAGCGUUGUUCGGAAUUACUGGGCGUAAAGCGUACGUAGGCGGAUCAGAAAGUAUGGGGUGAAAUCCCAGGGCUCAACCCUGGAACUGCCUCAUAAACUCCUGGUCUUGAGUUCGAGAGAGGUGAGUGGAAUUCCGAGUGUAGAGGUGAAAUUCGUAGAUAUUCGGAGGAACACCAGUGGCGAAGGCGGCUCACUGGCUCGAUACUGACGCUGAGG
rnacentral:rRNA from 1 species